rnacentral:rRNA from 1 species
GACGAACGCUGGCGGCGUGCUUAACACAUGCAAGUCGAACGGAAAGGCCCUGCUUUUGUGGGGUGCUCGAGUGGCGAACGGGUGAGUAACACGUGAGUAACCUGCCCUUGACUUUGGGAUAACUUCAGGAAACUGGGGCUAAUACCGGAUAGGAGCUCCUGCUGCAUGGUGGGGGUUGGAAAGUUUCGGCGGUUGGGGAUGGACUCGCGGCUUAUCAGCUUGUUGGUGGGGUAGUGGCUUACCAAGGCUUUGACGGGUAGCCGGCCUGAGAGGGUGACCGGCCACAUUGGGACUGAGAUACGGCCCAGACUCCUACGGGAGGCAGCAGUGGGGAAUAUUGCACAAUGGGCGGAAGCCUGAUGCAGCAACGCCGCGUGCGGGAUGACGGCCUUCGGGUUGUAAACCGCUUUCGCCUGUGACGAAGCGUGAGUGACGGUAAUGGGUAAAGAAGCACCGGCUAACUACGUGCCAGCAGCCGCGGUGAUACGUAGGGUGCGAGCGUUGUCCGGAUUUAUUGGGCGUAAAGGGCUCGUAGGUGGUUGAUCGCGUCGGAAGUGUAAUCUUGGGGCUUAACCCUGAGCGUGCUUUCGAUACGGGUUGACUUGAGGAAGGUAGGGGAGAAUGGAAUUCCUGGUGGAGCGGUGGAAUGCGCAGAUAUCAGGAGGAACACCAGUGGCGAAGGCGGUUCUCUGGGCCUUUCCUGACGCUGAGGAGCGAAAGCGUGGGGAGCGAACAGGCUUAGAUACCCUGGUAGUCUACGCUGUAAACGGUGGGUACUAGGUGUGGGGUCCAUUCCACGGGUUCCGUGCCGUAGCUAACGCUUUAAGUACCCCGCCUGGGGAGUACGGCCGCAAGGCUAAAACUCAAAGGAAUUGACGGGGCCCCGCACAAGCGGCGGAGCAUGCGGAUUAAUUCGAUGCAACGCGUAGAACCUUACCUGGGUUUGACAUGGAUCGGGAGUGCUCAGAGAUGGGUGUGCCUCUUUUGGGGUCGGUUCACAGGUGGUGCAUGACUGUCGUCAGCUCGUGUCGUGAGAUGUUGGGUUAAGUCCCGCAACGAGCGCAACCCUUGUUCACUGUUGCCAGCACGUUAUGGUGGGGACUCAGUGGAGACCGCCGGGGUCAACUCGGAGGAAGGUGGGGAUGACGUCAAGUCAUCAUGCCCCUUAUGUCCAGGGCUUCACGCAUGCUACAAUGGCUGGUACAGAGAGUGGCGAGCCUGUGAGGGUGAGCGAAUCUCGGAAAGCCGGUCUCAGUUCGGAUUGGGGUCUGCAACUCGACCUCAUGAAGUCGGAGUCGCUAGUAAUCGCAGAUCAGCAACGCUGCGGUGAAUACGUUCCCGGG